rnacentral:rRNA from 1 species
AGAGUUUGAUCCUGGCUCAGGACGAACGUUGGCGGCGUGCCUAAUACAUGCAAGUCAACUGAAGCACGGUAGCAAUACUGUGUGGAGGUGGCGCACGGGUGAGUAACACGUAGGUAAUCUGCCUUCAGGUCUGACAUAACCCCGAGAAAUCGGGGCUAAUAGCAGAUGAUGCAGCGGCUUGACAUCAAGACAGUUGUUAAAGCUUCGGCGCCUGAAGAUGAGCCUGCGUCUGAUUAGCUAGUUGGCGGAGUAAUAGCCCACCAAGGCUACGAUCAGUAACUGGUCUGAGAGGAUGAUCAGUCACACUGGAACUGAGACACGGUCCAGACUCCUACGGGAGGCAGCAGUAAGGAAUAUUGCUCAAUGGGGGAAACCCUGAAGCAGCAACGCCGCGUGAGGGAUGAAGGGCUUUUGCUCGUAAACCUCUGUAGUGAGGGAAAAAAUUUCCACUCUGUGGAAUAUGAUGGUACCUCAAAAGUAAGCCCCGGCUAACUACGUGCCAGCAGCCGCGGUAAUACGUAGGGGGCAAACGUUGUCCGGAUUUACUGGGUGUAAAGGGUGCUCAGGCGGUUUUGUAAGUCAGAAGUGAAAUCCUAGGGCUUAACUCUGGAACUGCUUUUGAUACUGCAAGGCUUGAAUGUGGAAGAGGAGGAUGGAAUUUCUGGUGUAGCAGUGAAAUGCGUAGAUAUCAGAAAGAACACCAGUGGCGAAGGCGGUCCUCUGGUCCACUAUUGACGCUAAAGCACGAAAGCGUGGGGAGCAAACAGGAUUAGAUACCCUGGUAGUCCACGCCUUAAACGAUGAAUACUAGACGUUGGGGUUAAACUCAGUGUCGCAGCUAACGCAUUAAGUAUUCCACCUGGGGAGUACGAUCGCAAGGUUGAAACUCAAAGGAAUUGACGGGGGCCCG